AGUGAACGCUGGCGGUAGGCCUAACACAUGCAAGUCGAACGGCAGCACAGUAGUUCCUUUCUCUUACGGGGGUCGAGGGGCGGCGGGCGGGGGAGUAAAUCGAAAUUUAUUUUUCCGCGGGGGGUAACUAAGGAAAACUAACUCUAUUACCUUAUCGAACCUACGGGUGAAAGCAGGGUGUGUUGGAACCUUGCUCUCUUGAGGGAGCGGAUGUCGGAUUAGCUAGUUGGCGGGGUAAAGGCCCACCAAGGCGACGAUCCGUAGCUGGUCUGAGAGGAUGAGCAGCCACACUGGCACUGAGACACGGUCCAGACUCCUACGGGAGGCAGCAGUGGGGAAUAUUGGACAAUGGGCGCAAGCCUGAUCCAGCCAUACCGCGUGGGUGAAGAAGGCCUUCGGGUUGUAAAGCCCUUUUGUUGGGAAAGAAAAGCAGCAGGUUAAUACCCCGCUGUUCUGACGGUACCCAAAGAAUAAGCACCGGCUAACUUCGUG
rnacentral:rRNA from 1 species